AUGCUUUCCAUAAAACCAGACAGCGUCCAUGCCCUGUCCAACAAGGCGUUGCCAGUUGUACUGUACACAAAGCAGUUACAACACACCGUAGUUCACAUUGUGUUUUUCCUGUUGGUUUCACUCUUUCCUCAUAUGAAGCAAAAGAGAGUUUCCACGGAGCACAGACCCCAGGCUGUGUCCCAUACCAGGGCUGGGAUUCACCCACAAAUGUUCACUAGAUUUGCUUUCUACUCUGAAGAAGUGCCCAAGAACAGACAGAGGCAUAACAGUUCUGUACAUCUGGAAUUAAACCACGAUGUUUUCCACCCUGCUGUGCUCCCCAUCAACUGUUAUCUCCCUCAACAGCUGUAUUUGGAUAUUUAUAUAAUUGUCCUGUUGCAAAGGUAUCCCUGGGUUGUCUUCUCAAUCACAAUAGCUGGAACUUCAGCUGGAGAUGCAGCACUGUCAUGGGCAGACAAAUGAACACAAGACCCCACAUGACCAAGAAAAUAUAUGAUUGAGUACACCUUUAGCCUGCUGCAAGGUCAGUCCCUGCAGCCCAGGUAAGCAGAAGGCAGGCUGCACUGCUUGACACUCACCUUUGUGGUAGCUGAACUUAACACACUGUACUCCUGACAGCUCCCAGAAGGUAAUACGUAAGUUAAUAUGCCUUCAUCUUUUUUUAAAUGUAUUGGUAUAUUUUAUUAUUUAGUGUUCACUGCCCACUGCCAUCAAAUGGUUCCCAACUGACUGAACUGGACAGCUUUUAGAGCUCAGUCUCACAAAUCCUUGAGUGUAGCCAAAUGGGAGGAUGGGUUAAAACAGUUCCAUUAAGCUAAUGGAACAAUUGCAGCGUAUCAUUGUUGGCCUUGCAGAUCAUCAGUGGCCCAAGGACAAGAGACUAGGAAUUAAAUGCUGUAAAGUAUUUGGAAAGAAACAGACAAGAAAGAGCCUGAGCUGGGGCAGUCGAUAUCUCAGUUAUUCCUUACUGCAAGCAACGUAUAAACAGAAUUGUUCACUGCUACUCCGCAGAAAGGAGAUCUUAAAAGAGAAUAUAGCACAGUUGGAAGGGACCUUCAAAGAUCAUGUAGUCCAACCACCACAGGGCUAACCAAAAGCUAAAGCAGAUUCAUGAGGGCGUUGUCCAAAUGCCUGUUGAACACUGACAGGCAUGGGAUCUGGACACAAUGAACUUUUAAUUUGUAAAACACAAAGGAGAAACUCUCCCUCUCUCUCAUUCCUUCAAUUGAACUGGAUUUAUCUCUACAAAAAAUAAUGACUACUUCUUAGUGGACUUCACAGUCGGUGAGAAAAGAGAUAUUCAGUUUGCUCUGCUCCUUUAAACUGUCUCUAAGUUAUUCACUCUGCCUGCAAGUACAAAAGAGGUGGUUGCACACAAAGUACAGAGGCCACCUUCAGUCUUAUAUCCUGUUGUUGAUGAGAAGAUUUUAAGAACGAAAACAGGAGUCACCACAUUAUUUUCAACAGGUAACAGAAAUUUUUAAAACAAGAGAAUAGAUGGAUUCUUCCUGGCUUUAAAUGGAAAUGAAGGAAUUCCCUCACCCCAUGCUCUCCCCUUCCCAUCUCCUACACAAUCAAAUUACAGGUCUUCUGUUUCUCAAAUGAGGACAGACCUGCACAAUCAGGAGUUCUUGCCAAACUCCUGCAUUUCUUGAGAAACAGCUCUGAGAUAUUUCCCAUACUUCUGGCAGGAUCAGAGCAAAGCUUUGUUAACCAUGGGAUGAAACAUGCUUAUAACGUAACACCUGAAUUCCUGAAACAUGGGAUAAAGAGCACAGAAGAAUAGGCAGUAUUGAAUCCCUAAAAACACUGCUCUAGCUUUCAACUCUUCGUGACUGUAUUUAGUUGUACCCUGACAGAUUUUUCUUCCAUUUUCCCCCAGCUCUUUAAAUCCACACAAUCUUUUAGCAUUCACAGAUUCUGUUGCAAGGAGUUCCUCAGCCUUCUCACACAGUAUAUAGUCAGUCCCAUCCACUACCUCGCAGUAUAUUUGAUGCACCUGGUUCCUAAAGUAUAAGAGAGAGCAAACAAUAACUCUAUUUUCUUUAUACCACCCAUAAGCCUUGGACAAACACUCCCUUAGCCAUUUCUUCUCCACAGUGAAGACUCAUGUUCUGAAUACCUUACCUUUAUCUUUAAAUACUUUACUUCCCAGGCUUUGGGGACAGUAUCUUUUUUCCACAACAAAGACCAAAUCAGUUUCCUAAACGAGGCAGUAUAAAUGUCAAACCCUGAGCUCCAUGGCAAAUGUCUGCAACCAUUCUUCUGCACAGGGAGAAUGAACAGCUUGGUUUCUAAAGCAGAUAUUCAAAGUUACCCCAGUUGACUGGAAGCUGAUAAUAUAUAGGGAAUACACUUGAGACUUUUUCCACAUACUGAGUUUAUUCUUGGCUAGCUACCCAGUUUAUCUUUACAUUAGAACCUGGACUUUAAAGCUUGCAUUAUGUAUGAGAAUCCAGAUAAGCUUACAGCAUUAAUUAUUCCACACAAAAGAAAACCUGGCAUUUAGAAUUCAACGCAUCAUUUACAUAAUAAUAAUAACUACAAAUCCCUCUCUUUCAAUAAAUUUGGGCAUGACGACUGCAUCGCUUUGCCAUUUUGACUCCUCACUCUUAAGUUACAGCUUCACAGGUGUGCUCCUAUUAACUGCAACAGUUACGAAAACUCAUUUUAUCACAUGAACUUUUGACUGGGAUCCAUUACAGUGUCCUUCUGCCUCUCCCACUGCAUCUAGAAUAUCAUGGUUUCAAAAUUCAGGAUGCUUUGUAAAAGCAAUUUAUCUGCCAAGGGCAUGCCUGGGCUUUUAAGCUUCUCACUUUACCAUGAGACAUCUUCUGGAACUUUUGUCUGAGGAGUUAAAAGAAAUUAACACAGAGGAGAGGGCUUUUUAGUGUUGUCAGCAAACACAUUCAUGUACACUUAAGCAGCAAGGUGUUGAACAGGGAACGUGUUGAUUAUGUCACUACUUUAAUGAUAGUGCUGUAAGAUCAUGCUUUUGUGCUAAGUAAUGCGCAAAGCAACCUUGGCAUUCCUUUAGACAGCUGAUAAUUUAAGUACAUUUAGAUGAGCAGACAGUGAGGUGGACUGAGAACUGGCUGGAUGGCAGAGCUCAGAGGGUUGUGUGAGAGUGUCCACAGUCUAGCUGGAGGCCUGUAGCUGUGUCCCCCAGGGGUCUGUGCUGGGUCCGGUCCUAUCCAACUUACCCACCAGUGAACCAGAUGAACGGACAAGGAUGCACUCUCAGCAUGUUUGCUGCUGAUACAAAAGCAGGAAGAGUGGCUGAUUCACCACAAUGCUGCAUUGCUAUUCAGAGGGACCUGGCCAGGCUGGAGAGUUUGGCAGAGAGGAUCCUCCUGAGGUUCAACAAAAGCUAGUGCAGGGUCCUGCACCUGAGAGGAAUAACCCCACACACUAGUACAGGUUGGGGGAUGACCUGCUGGAAAGCAGCUCUGCAGGAAAAAAACUGGGAGUCCUGGUGGACAGCGGGUAAACCAUGAGACAGCAAUGUCCCCUUGUGGCCAAGAAGGCCAAUGGUAUCCUGGGGUGCAUUAGGAAAAGUGUUGCCAGCAGGUUGAGAGGUGAUCCUCCCACUCUGCAAAGGCCUGGGGAGGCCACACCUGGAGUAUUGUGUCCAGUUCUGGGUUCCCCAGUACAAGAGGGACAUGGAGCUUCUGGAGACAGUCCAGCAGAGGGCUGUGAAGAUGAUUAGGGGACUGAAGCAUCUCUCAUAUGAGGAAAGGCUGAGAAAACUGGGCCUCAUUAGCCUGGAGAAGAGAAGACUGAGAGGGGAUCUCAUCAAUGCAUAUAAAUUUCUUAGGGAAGGGUGUCAAGAUGAUGGGGCCAGGCUCUUUGGUGGUGCCCAGAGGUAAGCAACAGGCACAAACUGAAACACAGGAAGGUCCACCUGAAUAUGGGGAAACACUUCUGUACUGUGAGAGUGACAGAACACUGGAAGGGGUUGCUCAGAGAGGUUGUGGAGUCUGCUCCCUUGGAGAUAUUAAAAAACCCACCUGGACGUGAUCCUGUGCAACAUGCUCUAGGUGACCCUGCUUGAGCAGGGGGGGUGGACUAGAUGGUCUCCAGAGGUCCCUUCUGACCAUAGUGAUUCAAAACCAGAUAACAGACACAUGGGGUGAGCAUUAGUCAAGAUCAAUACAAUGAGCAGAGACUAGACACUCACAGCCUAUUUUAACAGCCUCACAAGUGACAUUUAAAGGCCCAUUUUGAACAAAUGUCCAGAGCAAUGAAAUGUCUAGGGAGGAUGAGAAGCCCUUCCUACUGUUAGAAUCAAAAGGAAGAGAAAGGAGGAGAGGCCCUGUGACUUGGUGAGGAAAAAGUCCUGUCAUUCUGGCUUACUGUGCCUGUAGUAACAAUGGAGCAAUAUUUAGCAGCAGGAAAUGAUUAAAAGGAAAAUCAAGGUACAGUCAUAUUUAGUGGUAUACUCAGUGGUAGCAGAAGUGAAAGGCACACCAGAGAGCAAGAUAGAGGCAGGUGGAGCCUAUGAGCAGACAUGAACAGUAACCAGAAAAAGCCCUUAACAAAAUAAGCUAACUUAGGCAAGCUAAAAAAGGAAAAAAGGGCAGUGCCAUGAAGCAGUAAAUUCCAGGAACUGUCACAAUCUCACAAAUACCCCACUUUUGUUCUGGCAGAGAGAAAAGGCCAGCCAAGUUACAAGGUGCAGCCCUCUGAAUAGAGUGCUCCCUGCUAGGCUGUCUGCUCCAUCAGUGCAUUGCUCCCCCGAUCAGCCUGCAGUCACGGCCACCGUUCAUUAAGAUGGAACACAGACUGCUCAUCCAGCAGCCUCAUCGGGGCUGCACUCCCAUAUUAAAAUGCAAUGAAAGCCACUAAUAAAGCCAUCCGCUGAGCAAUGUCUCAACAUGCCGUUGCAGCCUACUGAGCUGGUUUAUUGUUACAGAACAGAAGACACGAAGAUCUCAGAAGCACACCUACCCCACAGCUCCACUGAAACGAGCUAACCCAGUACAUUCAUACCUACAAA
rnacentral:lncRNA from 1 species